rnacentral:siRNA from 1 species
CACGAUCAACCAGUCGGACCGGA